rnacentral:rRNA from 1 species
AAAGGACUGCUAAUACCGCAUGUGGUCAUCGGGUUUAGAAACCGAUGAUUAAAGCAGUAAUGCGCUUCUGGAGGGACCUGCGUCCCAUCAGCUAGUUGGUGAGGUAACGGCCCACCAAGGCUACGACGGGUAGGGGACCUGAGAGGGUGGUCCCCCACACUGGCACUGAAACACGGGCCAGACACCUACGGGUGGCAGCAGUAGGGAAUAUUGGUCAAUGGGCGAAAGCCUGAACCAGCAACGCCGCGUGCACGAUGAAGGUCUUCGGAUCGUAAAGUGCUUUUCUGAGAGAUGAGAAAGGACAGUAUCUCAGGAAUAAGUCUCGGCUAACUACGUGCCAGCAGCCGCGGUAAAACGUAGGAGGCAAGCGUUAUCCGGAUUUACUGGGCGUAAAGCGCGUGCAGGUGGUUCGGUAAGUUGGAUGUGAAAGCUCCUGGCUCAACUGGGAGAGGUCGUUCAAUACUACCGGACUUGAGAGCAGUAGAGGGAUGUGGAAUUCCCGGUGUAGUGGUGAAAUGCGUAGAUAUCGGGAGGAACACCAGUGGCGAAAGCGGCAUCCUGGACUGUUUCUGACACUCAGACGCGAAAGCUAGGGUAGCAAACGGGAUUAGAGACCCCGGUAGUCCUAGCUGUAAACGAUGUGAACUUGGCGUCGGCGGGUUCAAAGCCGUCGGUGCCGAAGCUAACGCGAUAAGUUCACCGCCUGGGGACUACGGCCGCAAGGUUAAAACUCAAAGGAAUUGACGGGACCCCGCACAAGCAGCGGAGCGUGUGGUUUAAUUCGAUGUUACACGAAGAACCUUACCCAGGUUUGACAUGCAAGUGGUAGUGAAGCGAAAGCAGAACGACCCUUCGGGGAGCUUGCACAGGUGUUGCAUGGCUGUCGUCAGCUCGUGUCGUGAGAUGUUCGGUUAAGUCCGCUAACGAGCGCAACCCUUACUGUAUGUUACAUGUGUCAUACGGGACCGCCGGUAUCAAGCCGGAGGAAGGUGGGGAUGACGUCAAGUCAGCAUGGCCUUUAUAUCUGGGGCUACACACACGCUACAAUGGCCGGUACAAUGGGUUGCUAAGCCGCGAGGUAGAGCCAAUCCCCAAAACCGGCCUCAGUUCAGAUCACAGGCUGAAACCCGCCUGUGUGAAGUCGGAGUUGCUAGUAAACGCGC